rnacentral:rRNA from 1 species
ACUCCUACGGGAGGCAGCAGUAGGGAAUCUUCCACAAUGGGCGCAAGCCUGAUGGAGCAACACCGCGUGAGUGAAGAAGGGUUUCGGCUCGUAAAGCUCUGUUGUUAAAGAAGAACACGUAUGAGAGUAACUGUUCAUACGUUGACGAUAUUUAACCAGAAAGUCACGGCUAACUACGUGCCAGCAGCCGCGGUAAUACGGAGGGUGCGAGCGUUAAUCGGAAUUACUGGGCGUAAAGCGCAUGCAGGUGGUUUUGUUAAGUUCAGAUGUGAAAGCCCGGGGGCUCAACCUCGGAAUAGCAUUUGAAACUGGCAGACUAGAGUACUGUAGAGGGGGUAGAAUUUCAGGUGUAGCGGUGAAAUGUGUAGAGAUCUGAAGGAAUACCGGUGGCGAAGGCGGCCCCCUGGACAGAUACUGACACUCAGAUGCGAAAGCUGGGGAGCAAACAGGAUUAGAUACCCUGGUAGGAUAGCG